ACACCUCUGUGCACUUUGGGGGGACUCGAGACAGUGUCCUCCCGUUAACGAACGCCCUUGUCUCUAGUGUGUAUUUUGAGAACCCCCUUCUGAAGGGGGGAAAGUCUUUGAAACACAACUUUCAACAACGGAUCUCUUGGCUUUCGCAUCGAUGAAGAACGCCGCGAACGCGCGAAACGUAAUGUGAAUUGCAGAAUUCAGUGAAUCAUCGAAUCUUUGAACGCACCUUGCGCUCCUCGGCAUUCCGAGGAGCAUGCCUGUUUGAGUGUCGUGAAGUCUCAUCGGAUAAGGGGGUCCCUUGCGAAGGGGGCCUCUUUUCGGUCUUGGACGGUCUUGCCUUCACUUUGUCUGUGAAGGCUCGUCUUCAAAUUCAUCGGCGAGGGUUUCCAAGUCCCCCCCACGGAGACGCGUGAUAAGUCUUGCGUCGUCUGGGGGUAAGGAGCCCGGCCCCCAUCACUCUUUUUUAACGCCCUGACCUCAAAUCAGGCAGGACUACCCGCUGAACUUAAGCAUAUCAAUAAGCGGAGGAAAAGAAACUAACAAGGAUUCCCCUAGUAACGGCGAGUGAAGCGGGAACAGCUCAAAUUUGUAAUCUGACGGCCUCUGGUCGUCCGAGUUGUAAUCUGGAGAAG
rnacentral:rRNA from 1 species